AUCGUCGGUUGUCUUCUGUCGUGAGUCUUUGUGUGUUAGUUUCUUCCAGUGUCAGGUUUGAUUCACCUCGUCUUUUAAACCGUCUCCGAGUGAAGUAGACGAUGAUGAUGAGGAGGAGGAAGGAGACGACUACUCCAUACACCCAAAUAGGAAGUUGUUGAGGGACUUCAGGGUCAGCUGGAAGACAAAGUGGUGACGGUGAUGCUGAUCAUGAUGAUUAAAUAGAGGAUUCCAAUCACCGUACGAACACACAUCUGCCACGGGAAAGGAGUCUCUGGAAGACAAGAAACAUUCAGAAUCAGACCCUCGUCAGGUGGUGACGGUGAUGCUGAUCAUGAUGAUUAAAUAGAGGAUUCCAAUCACCGUACGAACACACAUCUGCCACGGGAAAGGAGUCUCUGGAAGACAAGAAACAUUCAGAAUCAGACCCUCGUCAGGUGGUGACGGUGAUGCUGAUCAUGAUGAUUAAAUAGAGGAUUCCAAUCACCGUACGAACACACAUCUGCCACGGGAAAGGAG